rnacentral:tRNA from 1 species
GGGGAUUUAGCUCAGUGGUAGAGCGCUUGCCUAGCAAGCGCAAGGCCCUGGGUUCGGUCCCCAGCUCUG